GCGAAUUUACGGUUCUGUAAAAGGAAGAUCACUCGGAAGCUAAGCGGGGUCGGGCCUGGUCAGUACCUGGAUGGGAGACCACCUAGGAAGACCAGGUGCUGUAGGCA
rnacentral:rRNA from 1 species